rnacentral:rRNA from 1 species
GACGAACGCUGGCGGCGUGCUUAACACAUGCAAGUCGAACGGAAAGGCCCGGCUUUUGUGGGGUGCUCGAGUGGCGAACGGGUGAGUAACACGUGAGUAACCUGCCCUUGACUUUGGGAUAACUUCAGGAAACUGGGGCUAAUACCGGAUAGGAGCUCCUGCUGCAUGGUGGGGGUUGGAAAGUUUCGGCGGUUGGGGAUGGACUCGCGGCUUAUCAGCUUGUUGGUGGGGUAGUGGCUUACCACGGCUUUGACGGGUAGCCGGCCUGAGAGGGUGACCGGCCACAUUGGGACUGAGAUACCGCCCAUACUCCUACGGGAGGCAGCAGUGGGGAUUAUUGCACGAUGGGCGGAAGCCUGAUGCAGCAACGCCGCGUGCGGGAUGACGGCCUUCGGGUUGUAAACCGCUUUCGCCUGUGACGAAGCGUGAGUGACGGUAAUGGGUAAAGAAGCACCGGCUAACUACGUG